rnacentral:ncRNA from 1 species
UGCCAAGAACCGUGAGGAAACUGUCUCCCCUUACGGAUCGGGCGAAAUAAAACACGAAGGAG